UAGGGAAUCUUCCGCAAUGGACGCAAGUCUGACGGAGCAACGCCGCGUGAGUGAAGAAGGAUUUCGGUUCGUAAAACUCUGUUGUUAGAGAAGAACAGCGCAUAGAGUAACUGUUAUGCGUGUGACGGUAUCUAACCAGAAAGCCACGGCUAACUACGUGCCAGCAGCCGCGGUAAUACGUAGGUGGCAAGCGUUGUCCGGAUUUAUUGGGCGUAAAGCGAGCGCAGGCGGUCAAUUAAGUCUGAUGUGAAAGCCCCCGGCUCAACCGGGGAGGGUCAUUGGAAACUGGUUGACUUGAGUGCAGAAGAGGAGAGUGGAAUUCCAUGUGUAGCGGUGAAAUGCGUAGAUAUAUGGAGGAACACCAGUGGCGAAGGCGACUCUCUGGACUGUAACUGACGCUGAGGCUCGAAAGCGUGGGUAGCAAACAGG
rnacentral:rRNA from 1 species